GACGAACGCUGGCGGCGUGCCUAAUACAUGCAAGUAGAACGCUGAAGGAGGAGCUUGCUUCUCCGGAUGAGUUGCGAACGGGUGAGUAACGCGUAGGUAACCUGCCUGGUAGCGGGGGAUAACUAUUGGAAACGAUAGCUAAUACCGCAUAAGAGUAGAUGUCGCAUGACAUUUGCUUAAAAGGUGCAACUGCACCACUACCAGAUGGACCUGCGUUGUAUUAGCUAGUUGGUGAGGUAACGGCUCACCAAGGCAACGAUACAUAGCCGACCUGAGAGGGUGAUCGGCCAAACUGGGACUGAGACAAGGCCCAGACUCCUAAGGGAGGCAGCAGUAGGGAAUCUUCGGCAAUGGACGGAAGUCUGACCGAGCAACGCCGCGUGAGUGAAGAAGGUUUUCGGAUCGUAAAGCUCUGUUGUAAGGGAAGAACGAGUGUGAGAGUGGAAAGUUCACGCUGUGACGGUAUCUUACCAGAAAGGGACGGCUAACUACGUG
rnacentral:rRNA from 1 species